UGCAAGCGUUAUCCGGAAUGAUUGGGCGUAAAGCGUCCGCAGGUGGCUAUGUAAGUCUGCUGUUAAAGAGUGAGGCUCAACCUCAUAAGAGCAGUGGAAACUACAUGGCUAGAGUGCGUUCGGGGCAGAGGGAAUUCCUGGUGUAGCGGUGAAAUGCGUAGAGAUCAGGAAGAACACCGGUGGCGAAAGCGCUCUGCUAGGCCGCAACUGACACUCAUGGACGAAAGCUAGGGGAGCGAAUGGG
rnacentral:rRNA from 1 species